UACGGAGGGGGCUAGCGUUGUUCGGAAUUACUGGGCGUAAAGCGUGCGCAGGCGGUUGUGCAAGACCGAUGUGAAAUCCCCGGGCUUAACCUGGGAAUGGCAUUGGUGACUGCACGGCUAGAGUGUGUCAGAGGGGGGUAGAAUUCCACGUAUAGCAGUGAAAUGCGUAGAGAUGUGGAGGAAUACCGAUGGCGAAGGCAGCCCCCUGGGAUAACACUGACGCUCAUGCACGAAAGCGUGGGGAGCAAACAGG
rnacentral:rRNA from 1 species